rnacentral:rRNA from 1 species
GACGAACGCUGGCGGCGUGCUUAACACAUGCAAGUCGAACGGAAAGGCCCCUUUGGGGGUACUCGAGUGGCGAACGGGUGAGUAACACGUGAGUAACCUGCCCUUGACUUCGGGAUAACUUCAGGAAACUGGGGCUAAUACCGGAUAGGAAUCCUUGCUGCAUGGUGGGGGUUGGAAAGCUUCGGCGGUUUUGGAUGGACUCGCGGCUUAUCAGCUUGUUGGUGGGGUAGUGGCUUACCAAGGCUUUGACGGGUAGCCGGCCUGAGAGGGCGACCGGCCACAUUGGGACUGAGAUACGGCCCAGACUCCGACGGGAGGCAGCAGUGGGGAAUAUUGCACAAUGGGCGGAGGCCUGAUGCAGCAACGCCGCGGGCGGGAUGACGGCCUUCGGGUUGUAAACCGCUUUCAGCAGGGGCGAAGCUUGUGGUGACGGUACCUGCAGAAGAAGCACCGGCUAACUACGUG